AACAAACUUCCUCAUGGAGGCAGCUGACCUUACCUGACUGUGGGGGCAUGGAUAGCACUACAGGCACUUGGGAAAGGUGGGACACACCAACUCACAAGAGCUGGCUGAGAACUCGGGGCCACUGCACUGAGAAGCCCAUAGCCUGCAGAAACACAGUACCAGAGAGAGAGAGAGAGAGAGAGAGAGAGGCAGAAGCUCCCCAAGGAUCUGCAGGAGUGUUGAUAAAGGUGUCUCUUGUUCCCAUCUCCUCUGGAGGAUGGGGAGAGCCCAGGCUGCAUCCAGAGGAAAUCACCGAGUAUCUACAGACAUCAGCUGCCAACUUCAGACCAGCCAUGCCAUGUGGCUGAGAGAUGUCACCUCUGGCUUUGACGUUCCCUGCCGGCUGGCCCUGGCUUAUUCAUGGCACCCCUCCCUUGACACAGGGACUUGUCUCAGCACGGUGUGACCUCAAGAGCCACUGUCUAUGGUCUGCUAGCCCUGUCUGGCAGCUUGAAUGGCCUGAUCUCACUUUGGUUUGAUGCGUAAUACCAUGAACGAAUGACUUACAGAAC
rnacentral:lncRNA from 1 species